rnacentral:rRNA from 1 species
AUGGAUGUGAAGAGUGCAUUCCUCAACGACAAGAUUGAAGAAGAAGUGUACGUUGCUCAACCACCUGGCUUUGAAGAUCCAAAACAUCCUGAUAUGGUGUACAAACUAAACAAAGCACUGUAUGGCCUCAAACAAGCCCCUUGCGCUUGCUAUGAUACGAUCAAAGAUUUCCUGAAGAGCAAAGGCUUCAAACCUGGAUCCCUCGAUCCCACACUCUUCACGAAGACAUAUGAUGGUGAACUGUUUGUAUGCCAAAUAUAUGUGGAUGACAUUAUCUUCGGCUGCACCAACCAGAAGUAUAGUGAUGAGUUUGGAUACAUGAUGCAAGAGCAAUAUCAGAUGUCCAUGAUGGGUGAGCUGAAGUUCUUCCUUGGUCUUCAAAUUCGUCAGCAAAGGAAUGGCAUCUUCAUAUCUCAAGAAAUAUAUCUCAAAGACUGUCUGAAGAAGUUUGGAAUGCAAGAUUGCAAAGGUUACACAACGCCAAUGCCAGCCAAGCACCAUCUUGGUCCCGACGACUGGUAA